rnacentral:rRNA from 1 species
CUUGAGUGGCGGACGGGUGAGUAACACGUGAGAAUUCGCCUUUAGGCGGGGAAUAACCAUCGGAAACAAUGGCUAAUGCCCCAUAUGCUCGUAAGAGUGAAAGGAGUAAUCCACCCAAAGAGAAGCUCGCGGCUGAUUAGCUAGUUGGUAAGGUAAUGGCUUACCAAGGCGACGAUCAGUAGCUGGUUUGAGAGAACGAUCAGCCACACUGGAACUGAGACACGGUCCAGACUCCUACGGGAGGCAGCAGUGGGGAAUUUUCCGCAAUGGGCGAAAGCCUGACGGAGCAAUACCGCGUGAGGGAUGAAGGCCUUUGGGUUGUAAACCUCUUUUAUCAAGGAGGAAGUUCUGACGUGUACUUGAUGAAUAAGCAUCGGCUAACUCCGUGCCAGCAGCCGCGGUAAGACGGAGGAUGCAAGUGUUAUCCGGAAUCACUGGGCGUAAAGCGUCUGUAGGUGGUUUAAAAAGUCCACUGUUAAAGAUUGAAGCUUAACUUCAAAAAUGCCGUGGAAACUUUUUAAACUUGAGUAUGAUAGGGGUAGAGGGAAUUUCCAGUGGAGCGGUGAAAUGCGUAGAUAUUGGAAAGA